UAUUUAUUAGAUAACAAGCCAAUAUUCCUCUGGUCUAUUGUGGUGACUCAUAAUAACUGAUCGAAUCGCAAGGCCUAUGGCCGCGAUAAGUCAUUCAAGUUUCUGCCCCAUCAGCUUUCGAUGGUAGUGUAUUGGACUACCAUGGCGUUUACGGGUAACGGAGGAUUAGGGUUCGAUUCCGGAGAGGGAGCCUGAGAAACGGCUACCACAUCUAAGGAAGGCAGCAGGCGCGUAAAUUACCCAAUCCUGACUCAGGGAGGUAGUGACAAGAAAUAACGGACCGAGGCCUUCGGGCUUCGGGAUUGCAAUGAGCCGAAUUUACACCCCUUAGCGAGGAUCGAUUGGAGGGCAAGUCUGGUGCCAGCAGCCGCGGUAAUUCCAGCUCCAAUAGCGUAUAUUAAAGUUGUUGCAGUUAAAAAGCUCGUAGUUGGAUUUCUGGGAGGGUGCCAAUGUCCGCCGACGUGCGUGCGCAGCGGCGCCCUUCCAUCCUUCUGUUAACGCCUCUUGGCAUUCAUUUGCUGGUGGCGGGCUCAGAUAUUUUACCUUGAGAAAAUUAGAGUGUUUCAGGCAGGCUAG
rnacentral:rRNA from 1 species